rnacentral:rRNA from 1 species
UACAGAGGUCUCAAGCGUUGUUCGGAUUCAUUGGGCGUAAAGGGUGUGUAGGUGGCGCCGUAAGUCGGGUGUGAAAUUUCGGAGCUUAACUCCGAAACUGGCAUUCGAUACUGCGGUGCUUGAGGACUGGAGAGGAGACUGGAAUUCAUGGUGUAGCAGUGAAAUGCGUAGAGAUCAUGAGGAAGACCAGUGGCGAAAGGCGGGUCUCUGGACAGUUCCUGACACUGAGACACGAAGGCCAGGGGAGCAAACGGG